rnacentral:lncRNA from 1 species
GAGACGUGAUGCUAGAGAUCUAUAGAAACCUGGUGUUUGUGGGAAGUGCAGUAGCAUUGGUGGAAAGAACUUGCAGACACUGAUUCUGAGAGGAUCAUGAGCUGUGAGUGGUUGAUGCUCUGCUCCAGGUCUGGGGUCUCUGCAGAGCCAGCCAGGUAGGCUGGUUAUUCAGAGCA